rnacentral:rRNA from 1 species
CUCAGAUACUGAAAGCGCGAGCGCCAGAGGGUGAGUCUGCGGCCUAUCAGGUAGUAGGUGGUGUAACGGACCACCUAGCCUAAGACGGGUACGGGCCUUGAGAGAGGGAGCCCGGAGAUGGGUUCUGAGACACGAACCCAGGCCCUACGGGGCGCAGCAGGCGCGAAACCUUCGCACUGCGCGAAAGCGCGACGAGGGGAGCCCGAGUGCCUCUCCAUUUCGGGGAGGCUUUUCACAAGCCUAAAAAGCUUGUGGAAUAAGGGCUGGGCAAGACGGGUGCCAGCCGCCGCGGUAAUACCCGCAGCUCGAGUGGUGGUCGCUUUUAUUGAGCCUAAAACGUUCGUAGUCGGCCUUGUAAAUCCCUGGGUAAAUCGGACCGCUUAACGGUUCGAAUUCCGGGGAGACUGCAAGGCUAGGGACCGGGCGAGGUCAGAGGUACUUUCGGGGUAGGAGUGAAAUCCUGUAAUCCCGAAGGGACCACCUGUGGCGAAAGCGUCUGACUUGAACGGCUCCGACGAUGAGGAACGAAGGCUAGGGGAGCAAACCGGAUUAGAUACCCGGGUAGUCCUAGCUGUAAACUCUGCCCGCUUGGUGUGGCCUGUCCUUCGGGGGCAGGCUGUGCCGGAGCGAAGGUGUUAAGCGGGCUGCUUGGGGAGUACGGCCGCAAGGUUGAAACUUAAAGGAAUUGGCGGGGGAGCACCGAACGGGAGGAUGCGUGCGGUUUAAUGGAUCAACGCCGGAA